CUCCACGUCCUCCGAUUUGGGGAAUUCCCAUUUUCCGAGCUGUCUUUCCUACAUCUUCUGAAAGGCACCCCGAAGAAAGAGGGGGGAGAUACAUCUUCUGAAAGGCACCCUGAAGAAAGACGGGGGAGAUGAAGCCGGUGGUGGGUGUGGUGGUGUCGAACAAGAUGCAGAAGUCGGUGGUGGUGGCGGUGGAUCACCUCUUCCAUCACAAGUUGUAUAACCGAUACAUUAGGAGGACCAGUAAGUUCAUGGCCCAUGACGAGAACAAUGACUGCAACAUUGGCGAUCGGGUGAAGCUUGAUCCUUCAAGACCCCUGAGCAAGAGAAAACGCUGGGUUGUUGCUGAGAUAUUGAAGAAGGCCAUGAUUUAUGUCCCCCUGCGGCAGAAAAACCACUAGGAGAUUCUAAGUCCAAAUAAGGUUUAAUUUUGGUAGCUGAUCUGGUCAUUCUCUUGUCAUCGAGUGCUAAACCCGUUCUUGUAUGCUGUGCCAGUUUCAGCCAUUUCUGAGCAAGAGAUUUUCUUGGGGAGACCUUAAAACUGGUUUUCUGAGGAAUGAUGUCUGUUUAUAAGGUACUCAUUUGUUUCAUCAGGUGCGAAGCAAAACCCACUUUAUCUGCAUGGGUCGUACAGUCCCAUAUCAACAGAAAGUUGACUCCUGCCUGGGGAAGAUUGGUUCUAGGUUGCCUUCAUAAUAAGCUGGAGGUGAUGAAUUUAAUUGCAUUUUUUAUGAUAUUGGUGACUGAUUUGGACAUACAAUUUAUAUACAGUGGUGAAUUUGACGCACUUUGUGGUCUUGUACAUUAUCCUGUUUGGCAAACACUUUUUGUUGCAUGA